rnacentral:rRNA from 1 species
CCUACGGGCGGCAGCAGUGAGGAAUAUUGGUCAAUGGGCGUAAGCCUGAACCAGCCAAGUCGCGUGAGGGAUGACGGUUCUAUGGAUCGUAAACCUCUUUUAUAAGGGAAUAAAGUGCGGGACGUGUCCCGUUUUGUAUGUACCUUAUGAAUAAGGAUCGGCUAACUCCGUGCCAGCAGCCGCGGUAAUACGGAGGAUCCGAGCGUUAUCCGGAUUUAUUGGGUUUAAAGGGUGCGUAGGCGGGCUUUUAAGUCAGCGGUGAAAGUUUGUGGCUCAACCAGAGAAUUGCCGUUGAAACUGGGAGGCUUGAGUAUGGUUGAGGUAGGCGGAAUGCGUGGUGUAGCGGUGAAAUGCUUAGAUAUCACGCAGAACUCCGAUUGCGAAGGCAGCCUGCUAAGCCAUGACUGACGCUGAUGCACGAAAGCGUGGGGAUCAAACAGGAUUAGAUACCCUAGUAGUC